UACGUAGGGGGCAAGCGUUGUCCGGAAUCAUUGGGCGUAAAGAGCGCGUAGGCGGCCCUGUAAGUCCGCUGUGAAAGUCAAGGGCUCAACCCUUGAAUGCCGGUGGAUACUGCAGGGCUAGAGUCCGGAAGAGGCGAGUGGAAUCCUGGUGUAGCGGUGAAAUGCGCAGAUAUCAGGAGGAACACCGAUGGCGAAGGCAGCUCGCUGGGACGGUACUGACGCUGAGGCGCGAAAGCGUGGGGAGCAAACAGG
rnacentral:rRNA from 1 species